rnacentral:rRNA from 1 species
GCAGUCGAGCGAACAGAUAAGGAGCUUGCUCCUUUGACGUUAGCGGCGGACGGGUGAGUAACACGUGGGUAACCUACCUAUAAGACUGGAAUAACUUCGGGAAACCGAAGCUAAUGCCGGAUAACAUGUAGAACCGCAUGGUUCUACAGUGAAAGAUGGCCUUGCUAUCACUUAUAGAUGGACCCGCGCCGUAUUAGCUAGUUGGUAAGGUAACGGCUUACCAAGGCAACGAUACGUAGCCGACCUGAGAGGGUGAUCGGCCACACUGGAACUGAGACACGGUCCAGACUCCUACGGGAGGCAGCAGUAGGGAAUCUUCCGCAAUGGGCGAAAGCCUGACGGAGCAACGCCGCGUGAGUGAUGAAGGUCUUCGGAUCGUAAAGCUCUGUUAUUAGGGAAGAACAAGUGCGUAAGUAACUGUGCGCACCUUGACGGUACCUAAUCAGAAAGCCACGGCUAACUACGUGCCAGCAGCCGCGGUAAUACGUAGGUGGCAAGCGUUAUCCGGAAUUAUUGGGCGUAAAGCGCGCGUAGGCGGUUUCUUAAGUCUGAUGUGAAAGCCCACGGCUCAACCGUGGAGGGUCAUUGGAAACUGGGAGACUUGAGUGCAGAAGAGGAAAGUGGAAUUCCAUGUGUAGCGGUGAAAUGCGCAGAGAUAUGGAGGAACACCAGUGGCGAAGGCGACUUUCUGGUCUGUAACUGACGCUGAUGUGCGAAAGCGUGGGGAUCAAACAGGAUUAGAUACCCUGGUAGUCCACGGCGUAAACGAUGAGUGCUAAGUGUUAGGGGGUUUCCGCCCCUUAGUGCUGCAGCUAACGCAUUAAGCACU